UGCAAGUCGAGCGAACAGACGAGGAGCUUGCUCCUCUGACGUUAGCGGCGGACGGGUGAGUAACACGUGGAUAACCUACCUAUAAGACUGGGAUAACUUCGGGAAACCGGAGCUAAUACCGGAUAAUAUAUUGAACCGCAUGGUUCAAUAGUGAAAGACGGUUUUGCUGUCACUUAUAGAUGGAUCCGCGCCGCAUUAGCUAGUUGGUAAGGUAACGGCUUACCAAGGCAACGAUGCGUAGCCGACCUGAGAGGGUGAUCGGCCACACUGGAACUGAGACACGGUCCAGACUCCUACGGGAGGCAGCAGUAGGGAAUCUUCCGCAAUGGGCGAAAGCCUGACGGAGCAACGCCGCGUGAGUGAUGAAGGUCUUCGGAUCGUAAAACUCUGUUAUUAGGGAAGAACAAAUGUGUAAGUAACUAUGCACGUCUUGACGGUACCUAAUCAGAAAGCCACGGCUAACUACGUGCCAGCAGCCGCGGUAAUACGUAGGUGGCAAGCGUUAUCCGGAAUUAUUGGGCGUAAAGCGCGCGUAGGCGGUUUUUUAAGUCUGAUGUGAAAGCCCACGGCUCAACCGUGGAGGGUCAUUGGAAACUGGAAAACUUGAGUGCAGAAGAGGAAAGUGGAAUUCCAUGUGUAGCGGUGAAAUGCGCAGAGAUAUGGAGGAACACCAGUGGCGAAGGCGACUUUCUGGUCUGUAACUGACGCUGAUGUGCGAAAGCGUGGGGAUCAAACAGGAUUAGAUACCCUGGUAGUCCACGCCG
rnacentral:rRNA from 1 species